rnacentral:rRNA from 1 species
AGUCGAACGAUGAACCAGGAGCUUGCUCUUGGGGAUUAGUGGCGAACGGGUGAGUAACACGUGAGUAACCUGCCCUUGACUCUGGGAUAAGCGUUGGAAACGACGUCUAAUACCGGAUACGAGCUUCCACCGCAUGGUGAGUUGCUGGAAAGAAUUUUGGUCAAGGAUGGACUCGCGGCCUAUCAGCUUGUUGGUGAGGUAACGGCUCACCAAGGCGACGACGGGUAGCCGGCCUGAGAGGGUGACCGGCCACACUGGGACUGAGACACGGCCCAGACUCCUACGGGAGGCAGCAGUGGGGAAUAUUGCACAAUGGGCGAAAGCCUGAUGCAGCAACGCCGCGUGAGGGACGACGGCCUUCGGGUUGUAAACCUCUUUUAGCAGGGAAGAAGCGAAAGUGACGGUACCUGCAGAAAAAGCACCGGCUAACUACGUGCCAGCAGCCGCGGUAAUACGUAGGGUGCAAGCGUUGUCCGGAAUUAUUGGGCGUAAAGAGCUCGUAGGCGGUUUGUCGCGUCUGCUGUGAAAUCCCGAGGCUCAACCUCGGGUCUGCAGUGGGUACGGGCAGACUAGAGUGCGGUAGGGGAGAUUGGAAUUCCUGGUGUAGCGGUGGAAUGCGCAGAUAUCAGGAGGAACACCGAUGGCGAAGGCAGAUCUCUGGGCCGCUACUGACGCUGAGGAGCGAAAGGGUGGGGAGCAAACAGGCUUAGAUACCCUGGUAGUCCACCCCGUAAACGUUGGGCGCUAGAUGUGGGGACCAUUCCACGGUUUCCGUGUCGUAGCUAACGCAUUAAGCGCCCCGCCUGGGGAGUACGG